CAGGACACCAGGAAUUUGUCCAUGAACACCCCAGAACAAAGCUUCCUUGGUUUAGUCAUAUUUGGAAGCGUCACCCAAGUUUUAGUCUCGGAAUUGUAAAGCUCAGCAGUGUUAAGAAUGUUGCCAUUAGAAUCACAACCACCAGCUAAAAUUGCUAUCUCCCCUUUACUAGCAGACCCAAACAAGCAUCUGGGAUCGUUCAUACUCACUCCAGGACACCAGGAAUUUGUCAAUAUACUAUAUCUAUAAGUGACAUGGGAAUUUAAAUCCUUACCAAAAACAAGAAGGUCAGUUCCCACUCCCAAGGAUUCUUUAUCCGAGCACAUGAAACAUUCAUUCGAAUCCAUCCUUGGCAAAUGCAUCCACCUGCGUUGAAUUGGAUCAAAAGCUUCCCACUCCAGAAGAUGGCAAGAGAAAUAAACCCAGUGCUCAAUCACACCGUUCAAACGCCUCAGUUUGUAAAGCUCUCCACUACGAAUUAACGAACGGAAACUUCGAUUCAAGGAUGCAAUCGAACCAUAAUCAGACCUGGAGCAGCGAAUUAAGCAAUUAAUAGAGUUGUCCCGACCAAUGGAAGAGAUCAGAGAACCGGAAUCAGAACUAUCCCCAGAAUCAGACUCAUCAUUUGGACGAUGAUCUCUUGAAGAUCGAGG
rnacentral:misc_RNA from 1 species